rnacentral:snRNA from 1 species
AUAUAUACUGUUCCGUUGUAAUAUCUGUUCUUAUUAGUUUAAUAUCUGAUAUAUGUGGCUACUGCCAACUCGAUAUUAAAUUAAUUUUGUGGGAGAGUAUCUACCCUGAUAGCUUGUUACUGGAAUUUAUCAUGUCGUUGCGCUGCACUGCUGUUCGAGACUAGCACAC